ACUUAUGAUGAUCGCUUUAACCUGAAA
rnacentral:piRNA from 1 species